UCUCCGUUGGUGAACCAGCGGAGGGAUCAUUACAGGACUCGCAAGACUCCUACAACCCUGUGAACUUAACUAUAAGCACGUUGCUUCGGCGGGUGUCUCGGAGGGGGUUCUCCCUCCCCGAGACGCUAAACCCGCCGGCAGCCUACUAUACUCUGUCUCUUUGCGUUGGCAUCUCGAGUACAAUCAAGCAAGUUAAAACUUUCAACAACGGAUCUCUUGGUUCU
rnacentral:misc_RNA from 1 species